rnacentral:tRNA from 1 species
GGAGAGGUGUCCGAGUGGCUGAAGGAGCACGAUUGGAAAUCGUGUAUGUCUCGAGAGGGGCAUCGAGGGUUCGAAUCCCUCUCUCUCCA